rnacentral:rRNA from 1 species
AAUUUUUGACAAUGGGGGAAACCCUGAUCCAGCCAUCCCGCGUGUAUGAUGAAGGCCUUCGGGUUGUAACGUACUUUUGGCAGCGAAGAAAAGGUAUCUCCUAAUACGAGAUACUGCUGACGGUAUCUGCAGAAUAAGCACCGGCUAACUACGUGCCAGCAGCCGCGGUGAUAAGUAGGGUGCAAGAGUUAAUCGGAAUUACGUGGCGGAAAAAGGGUGUAGGAGGUUCGGAAAGAAAGAUGUGAGAACACAGGGCUUAACCUUGGAACUGCAUUUUUAAAUGCCGGGCUAGAGUAUGUCAGAGGAGGGUAGAAUUACACGUGUAGCAGUGAAAAGCGUAGAGAUGUGGAGGAAUACCGAUGGCGAAGGCAGCCCCCUGGGAUAAUACUGACGAUCAGACACGAAAGAGUGGGGAGCAAAAA